rnacentral:rRNA from 1 species
CCUACGGGUGGCAGCAGUGAGGAAUAUUUGUCAAUGGACGAGAGUCUGAACCAGCCAAGUAGCGUGAAGGAUUACUGCCCUAUGGGUUGUAAACUUCUUUUAUAUGGGAAUAAAAUGUUCCACGUGUGGGAUUUUGUAUGUACCAUAUGAAUAAGGAUCGGCUAACUCCGUGCCAGCAGCCGCGGUAAUACGGAGGCUCCGAGCGUUAUCCGGAUUUAUUGGGUUUAAAGGGAGCGUAGGUGGAUUGUUAAGUCAGUUGUGAAAGUUUGCGGCUCAACCGUAAAAUUGCAGUUGAAACUGGCAGUCUUGAGUACAGUAGAGGUGGGCGGAAUUCGUGGUGUAGCGGUGAAAUGCUUAGAUAUCACGAAGAACUCCGAUUGCGAAGGCAGUUCACUGGACUGCAACUGACACUGAGGCUCGAAAGUGUGGGUAUCAAACAGGAUUAGAUACCCUUGUAGUC